rnacentral:rRNA from 1 species
GACGAACGCUGGCGGCGUGCUUAACACAUGCAAGUGGAGCGACGAACCAGGGCUUGCCCUGGGGCAGAGCCGCGAACGGGUGAGUAACACGUGGGUAACGUACCCCGAUGACUGGGACGAACCCGGGGAAACCCGGGCGUAAUACCGGAUGUGCACCCUCACAUCAGUGAGGUGUGUAAAGGAAGCUUCGGCCUCCGCGUUGGGAUCGGCCCGCGGCGCAUUAGCUUGUUGGUGAGGAACGGCUCACCAAGGCCGCGAUGCGUAGCUGGUCUGAGAGGACGAUCAGCCGCACUGGGACUGAGACACGGCCCAGACUCCUACGGGAGGCAGCAGUGGGGGAAUCUUGCGCAAUGCGCGAAAGCGUGACGCAGCAACGCCGCGUGGGGGAAGAAGGCCUCGGUUGUAACCC